AGGGAAGAAGAAACUCCCAAGGGCCAGGCUCCUAGAUGGGCGUGUUCACUUAUGUCACUGGAUCUCACAAAAAGCCCUAUAAGGAUCUUGUUGCUAUUCCAACUUUACAGAUAAGGAAGCUGGAGACUCCGAGAAGGAAAGAGACGGACGCUGAGCCUCAAAGACAGAAUGGCCUGCUUCCUUUCACGCGGUUGGUAGUUGAACCACACCCAGGUGAGCCACCUGGGCAGCCGUCACAUGCCAAUCACGUCACAAGGGUUGCCAAAGCCUGCGUUCCACCCCGUCCCUUCCAUGUCGCAAGGCCACACAGCGGACACAGAUUCCUUCCCGUCGAGUCAGCAGGGGAAUAAGUGGCAGACAGGCCGAAAUAAGUCAA